UACGUAGGGGGCAAGCGUUAUCCGGAUUUACUGGGUGUAAAGGGAGCGUAGACGGCGAAGUAAGCCUGAAGUGGAAGCCCGCGGCCCAACCGCGGAACUGCUUUGGGAACUGCUUAGCUGGAGUAUGGGAGGGGUAAGCGGAAUUCCUGGUGUAGCGGUGAAAUGCGUAGAUAUCAGGAGGAACACCGGUGGCGAAGGCGGCUUACUGGACCAUGACUGACGUUGAGGCUCGAAAGCGUGGGGAGCGAACAGG
rnacentral:rRNA from 1 species